rnacentral:rRNA from 1 species
UACGGAGGGAGCUAGCGUUAUUCGGAAUUACUGGGCGUAAAGCGCACGUAGGCGGCUUUGUAAGUAAGAGGUGAAAGCCUGGUGCUCAACACCAGAACUGCCCUUUAGACUGCAUCGCUUGAAUCAUGGAGAGGUGAGUGGAAUUCCGAGUGUAGAGGUGAAAUUCGUAGAUAUUCGGAAGAACACCAGUGGCGAAGGCGGCUCACUGGACAUGUAUUGACGCUGAGGUGCGAAAGCGUGGGGAGCAAACAGG